rnacentral:rRNA from 1 species
AGAGUUUGAUCCUGGCUCAGAUUGAACGCUGGCGGCAUGCCUUACACAUGCAAGUCGAACGGCAGCACGGGAGCAAUCCUGGUGGCGAGUGGCGAACGGGUGAGUAAUAUAUCGGAACGUGCCCAGUCGUGGGGGAUAACGCAGCGAAAGUUGUGCUAAUACCGCAUACGAUCUAUGGAUGAAAGCGGGGGAUCGCAAGACCUCGCGCGAUUGGAGCGGCCGAUAUCAGAUUAGGUUGUUGGUGAGGUAAAAGCUCACCAAGCCUGCGAUCUGUAGCUGGUCUGAGAGGACGACCAGCCACACUGGAACUGAGACACGGUCCAGACUCCUACGGGAGGCAGCAGUGGGGAAUUUUGGACAAUGGACGAAAGUCUGAUCCAGCAAUGCCGCGUGCAGGACGAAGGCCUUCGGGUUGUAAACUGCUUUUGUACAGAACGAAAAAGUCUUUAAUAACACUAGAGGCUCAUGACGGUACUGUAAGAAUAAGCACCGGCUAACUACGUGCCAGCAGCCGCGGUAAUACGUAGGGUGCAAGCGUUAAUCGGAAUUACUGGGCGUAAAGCGUGCGCAGGCGGUUAUAUAAGACAGAUGUGAAAUCCCCGGGCUCAACCUGGGACCUGCAUUUGUGACUGUAUAGCUAGAGUACGGUAGAGGGGGG